AAAGUGGAGAGUUUGAUCCUGGCUCAGAACGAACGCUGGCGGCGUGCUUAACACAUGCAAGUCGAGCGCGAAAGGGAGGGGCAACUCUCCUUAGUAGAGCGGCGCACGGGUGAGUAACGCGUGGGUAACCUGCCCCCGGGCGGGGGAUAACCACUCGAAAGGGUGGCUAAUACCGCAUGAGACCACGAGGUCCUCGGACCUUGAGGCCAAAGGCGGCGCCGGCUUGCCGGCGCUGUCACCUGGGGAUGGGCCCGCGUACGAUUAGCUGGUUGGUGAGGUAACGGCCCACCAAGGCUACGAUCGUUAGCUGGUCUGAGAGGAUGGCCAGCCACACUGGAACUGAAACACGGUCCAGACUCCUACGGGAGGCAGCAGUGAGGAAUAUUGCGCAAUGGGGGAAACCCUGACGCAGCAACGCCGCGUGGGUGAAGAAGGCCUUCGGGUCGUAAAG
rnacentral:rRNA from 1 species